rnacentral:rRNA from 1 species
GAUGAACGCUGGCGGCGUGCCUAAUACAUGCAAGUCGAGCGAACAGACGAGGAGCUUGCUCCUCUGACGUUAGCGGCGGACGGGUGAGUAACACGUGGAUAACCUACCUAUAAGACUGGGAUAACUUCGGGAAACCGGAGCUAAUACCGGAUAACAUGUUGAAAAGCAUGGUUCAAAAGUGAAAGACGGUUGGGUGGUCACUUAGAGAGGGAUCCGCGCCGCAUUAGCUAGUUGGUAAGGUAACGGCUUACCAAGGCAACGAUGCGUAGCCGACCUGAGAGGGUGAUCGGCCACACUGGAACUGAGACACGGUCCAGACUCCUACGGGAGGCAGCAGUAGGGAAUCUUCCGCACUAGUCGAAAGCCUGACGGAGCAACGCCGCGUUAGUUAAGAAGGUCUUCGGAUCGUAAAACUCUGUUAUUAGGGAAGAACAAAUGUGUCAUUAACUAUGCCCGUCUUGACUGUCCCUCAUCAGAAAUCCACGGCUAACUACUUG